UUGAUCCUGGCUCAGGAUGAACGCUAGCUACAGGCUUAACACAUGCAAGUCGAGGGGCAGCAUACGGAAGCUUGCUUCUGUUGAUGGCGACCGGCGCACGGGUGAGUAACGCGUAUCCAACUUCCCCUUAGUAGGGCAUAGCCCGGCGAAAGUCGGAUUAAUACCCUAUGUUAUUCGUAGAGGACAUCUGAAAUGAAUCAAAGGUUUACCGCUAAGGGAUGGGGAUGCGUCUGAUUAGGUAGUAGGCGGGGUAACGGCCACCUAGCCGACGAUCAGUAGGGGUUCUGAGAGGAAGGUCCCCACAUUGGAACUGAGACACGGUCCAAACUCCUACGGGAGGCAGCAGUGAGGAAUAUUGGUCAAUGGGCGAGAGCCUGAACCAGCCAAGUAGCGUGCAGGAUGACGGCCCUAUGGGUUGUAAACUGCUUUAUCAGGGGAUAAAGUGAGGGACGUGUCCCUUUGUAGGUACCUGAUGAAUAAGGACCGGCUAAUUCCGUGCC
rnacentral:rRNA from 1 species